UCCCUGGUGGCUCAGUUGGUAAAGAAUCCGCCUGCAAUGCGGGAGACCUGGGUUCAAUCCCUGGGUUGGGAA
rnacentral:tRNA from 1 species